rnacentral:rRNA from 1 species
GACGAACGCUGGCGGCGUGCUUAACACAUGCAAGUCGAACGGAAAGGCCCUGCUUUUGUGGGGUGCUCGAGUGGCGAACGGGUGAGUAACACGUGAGUAACCUGCUCUUGACUUUGGGAUAACUUCAGGAAACUGGGGCUAAUACCGGAUAGGAGCUCCUGCUGCAUGGUGGGGGUUGGAAAGUUUCGGCGGUUGGGGAUGGACUCGCGGCUUAUCAGCUUGUUGGUGGGGUAGUGGCUUACCAAGGCUUUGACGGGUAGCCGGCAUGGGAGGGUGACCGGCCACAUGGGGACUAAGAUACGCCCCAGACGCCUACGUGAGGCAACGGUGGGGAAUAUUGCACAAUGAGCGGGAGCCUGAGACAACAACGCCGCGUGCGGGAUGACGGCCUUCGGGUUGAGAACCGCUUUCGCCUGUGACGAAGCGUGAGUGACGGUAAUGGGUAAAGAAGCACCGGCUAACUACGUG